CGACCCAUAUCUUAUACUCUCAUCUCUCUCUUUCUAUCAGCUCCUCGUUGUCGUUGCAGAGAGGGGUUUAGAAUUGCAGUGACGCCGUACUCUUGAAGCUAAGGACGACGAGAUCAGCGAAAUCAACGGCUUGAUCGUGCCGGCGCGAGCGAUCUUGAUUCGGUUCUCGGACUUGUUCUUGGCGAGGAGCCUGAUCUCCAUCGCCGCUUGCUUUUGAUCCUCGAUUGAGCUCGCCUCGAGGCCGGAGACGAGUUGCGUGAUCAGCUCAUCGGAAUUCUCCGUAUCGUAGGCGACCAAGAAUCGCCGGCCCUGAGACGACGCCGUUGAGAACUCGCCAGAUCGGUCGCUGUUGCAGUCACUGAAGUGUGCAGAAUCGUCGUUGAAGCGCAGAUCGUUCAAGCGCAGGUUGAUUAACAAUUGGUCGGCGUUUAAUCGGAAUUGUUGGGUAUCUCUAGGAAGGGGUAAUGGGGAAGUGAAAACGACCUCGUUUGGAUGAAGUUGUAAAAGAGUUAUAAACCUCAAUUUUUUUAACCGGAGGCACAUCGAUCUCCAACGAAGGCCUGCGAUGGUUGAAGCUCGACUGGUUCAAAGUGAUUUGAGGAGAAGUUUUGGCAGAGGGUGGAAGAAAGAAAAGGCAUUGGUCGGAAAGCACUGAGGAUCCUGAAAGGACUGUAGAAUUAGAGUCUUGUCCAGAUUACUACUCCAAGGAGGAGAAGCUAGCUAUAUUCGAGUUUGUUCCCGAUGGAGAUUUGUUUGAGCUCGUUAGUUCUAGCUUUCCUUCUUUUUGUUCUCGUCAAGGAAAUGCAUAGCUUGAUUGACAUAUAAGAUAGUAAUAGAUUAAUUUGAUAAUUAUUUGACUUGCAAAUAUUUUGGGUACCUAUUGGUAGAGAACAGAGGAGUUGGAAGAGUACCAUUGAAUUGGGUAACAAGGCUAUCUAUAAUCAAAGACGUAGCAAAGGGUCUCAAUUUUCUACACCAAUCCUUGCCUUCACACAAGGUACCUCAUGCCAACCUUAAAUCUUCAAAUGUACUUCUAAUGAAACGCGACAACCAAACCUACCAGUCGAAGCUCACAGACUUUGGCUUCUUGCCCCUCCUGCCAUCGCGAAGAUCCUCCCAAAAGCUGGCUGUUGGGAAAGUACCCGAAUUCUCUCUAGGGAAGAAGUUGACACACAAAGCCAAUGUGUACUGUUUCGGCAUUAUUGUUCUAGAGAUCAUUACUGGGAAAAUCCCAAGUCAAAUCUCAGGUGGAAUUGAAAAUGAGUUGGUGAUAAGAGUGUACAGACAUGGCACCGGAGAGGAGGCCAAAGAUAAGUGAAGUGUGGAGAGAAGAAUAGAAGAUAUUAUUCAUCAGCAGACAAGUGAAGGAACAGAAUCAUUAAAUUAAAUAGAUGGUGAUGUAGAGUUAGUUACAUAAGAAUAGCUUUUUCCAUUAAUUCUUUGAACAGCUUUUGUUUGUGCUUGGUUGAAACUUGUACUAUUUUGAAUUGCUGUAAUUGUGAUUCUGUUUUCUGGUUUUCAACGAAAUUGUCAUGUUUUUACCUCAAAUUGUGGUUUCAGUUUCAUUUUUAUUAAAA